GAUGAACGCUGGCGGCGUGCCUAAUACAUGCAAGUCGAGCGAACAGACGAGGAGCUUGCUCCUCUGACGUUAGCGGCGGACAGGUGAGUAACACGUGGAUAACCUACCUAUAAGACUGGAAUAACUUCGGGAAACCGGAGCUAAUACCGGAUAAUAUAUUGAACCGCAUGGUUCAAUAGUGAAAGACGGUUUUGCUGUCACUUAUAGAUGGAUCCGCGCCGCAUUAGCUAGUUGGUAAGGUAACGGCUUACCAAGGCAACGAUGCGUAGCCGACCUGAGAGGGUGAUCGGCCACACUGGAACUGAGACACGGUCCAGACUCCUACGGGAGGAAGCAGUAGGGAAUCUUCCGCAAUGGGCGAAAGCCUGACGGAGCAACGCCGCGUGAGUGAUGAAGGUCUUCGGAUCGUAAAACUCUGUUAUUAGGGAAGAACAAAUGUGUAAGUAACUAUGCACGUCUUGACGGUACCUAAUCAGAAAGCCACGGCUAACUACGUG
rnacentral:rRNA from 1 species